GCGUAGCGAGGCGAACCGGGAGAACUGAAACAUCUAAGUACCCCGAGGAAGAGAAAUCAACCGAGAUCCCGAAAGUAGCGGCGAGCGAAAUUGGGUUAGCCCUUAAGCUUUUAAUGAGACAGGUGAAGGCUCUGGAAAGUGCCGCGAUACAGGGUGAUAGCCCCGUAACCGACAUCUCAUCAUCAGUGAAAACGAGUAAGGCGGGACACGUGAUAUCCUGUCUGAAUAUGGGGGGACCAUCCUCCAAGGCUAAAUACUACUGACUGACCGAUAGUGAACCAGUACCGUGAGGGAAAGGCGAAAAGAACCCCUGUGAGGGGAGUGAAAUAGAACCUGAAACCGUGUACGUACAAGCAGUAGGAGCACCUUCGUGGUGUGACUGCGUACCUUUUGUAUAAUGGGUCAGCGACUUAUAUUCAGUGGCAAGGUUAACCGUUUAGGGGAGCCGUAGGGAAACCGAGUCUUAACUGGGCGUUCAGUCUCUGGAUAUAGACCCGAAACCAGGUGAUCUAGCCAUGGGCAGGUUGAAGAUUGAGUAACAUCAAUUGGAGGACCGAACCGACUAAUGUUGAAAAAUUAGCGGAUGACUUGUGGCUAGGGGUGAAAGGCCAAUCAAACCUGGAGAUAGCUGGUUCUCCCCGAAAUCUAUUUAGGUAGAGCCUCGGACGAAUACUACUGGGGGUAGAGCACUGUUAAGGCUAGGGGGUCAUCCCGACUUACCAACCCUUUGCAAACUCCGAAUACCAGUAAGUACUAUCCGGGAGACACACGGCGGGUGCUAACGUCCGUCGUGGAGAGGGAAACAACCCAGACCGCCAGCUAAGGUCCCAAAGUUAUAGUUAAGUGGGAAACGAUGUGGGAAGGCUCAGACAGCCAGGAUGUUGGCUUAGAAGCAGCCAUCAUUUAAAGAAAGCGUAAUAGCUCACUGGUCGAGUCGGCCUGCGCGGAAGAUGUAACGGGGCUAAACUAUACACCGAAGCUGCGGCAAUACAGUUUACUGUAUUGGGUAGGGGAGCGUUCUGUAAGCGGUUGAAGGUGCGUUGUAAAGCGUGCUGGACGUAUCAGAAGUGCGAAUGCUGACAUGAGUAACGAUAAAGCGGGUGAAAAACCCGCUCGCCGGAAGACCAAGGGUUCCUGUCCAACGUUAAUCGGGGCAGGGUAAGUCGACCCCUAAGGCGAGGCCGAAAGGCGUAGUCGAUGGGAAACGGGUUAAUAUUCCCGUACUUCUUACAAUUGCGAUGGGGGGACGGAGAAGGCUAGGUGGGCUUGGCGACGGUCGUCC
rnacentral:rRNA from 1 species